GGAGAGUCAUAGCUCAGUGGUAGAGCAUCUGAUUUGCAUCCAGGUUCAAUUCCUGGCAUCUCCA